CGCUGGCGGCGUGCUUAACACAUGCAAGUCGAACGAUGAAGCCGGAGCUUGCUCCGGUGGAUUAGUGGCGAACGGGUGAGUAACACGUGAGCAAUCUGCCCUUGACUCUGGGAUAACUGCGGGAAACUGUAGCUAAUACCGGAUACGACACCUUGGGGCAUCCCAGGGUGUGGAAAGAAUUUCGGUCAAGGAUGAGCUCGCGGCCUAUCAGCUAGUUGGUGAGGUAAUGGCUCACCAAGGCGACGACGGGUAGCCGGCCUGAGAGGGUGACCGGCCACACUGGAACUGAGACACGGUCUAGACUCCUACGGGAGGCAGCAGUGGGGAAUAUUGCACAAUGGGCGAAAGCCUGAUGCAGCAACGCCGCGUGAGGGAUGAAGGCCUUCGGGUUGUAAACCUCUUUAGCAGGGAAGAAGCGAAAGUGACGGUACCUGCAGAAAAGCACCGGCUAACUACGUG
rnacentral:rRNA from 1 species